rnacentral:rRNA from 1 species
GGAAUCUUCCACAAUGGACGCAAGUCUGAUGGAGCAACGCCGCGUGAGUGAAGAAGGUCUUCGGAUCGUAAAACUCUGUUGUUAGAGAAGAACACGAGUGAGAGUAACUGUUCAUUCGAUGACGGUAUCUAACCAGCAAGUCACGGCUAACUACGUGUCAG